rnacentral:lncRNA from 1 species
GCCAGACAGAAAAACAAGAUUUGCAAAAAGACUUUUUGAUUUAAAAAUAUCAAUUUGGAAUUUUAUUCACGAAAGAUUGUCAGAUUUUGUCAAUGAUGAAGAUUUGGCUGUGCCAGAGGAAGAAGAGGAGCAGUUAUCAGUAAGAAGGUU